AGUCGGCAGCAGCGACGCUCACAGCCGGGCCUGCAUCCUGUGUGCACACCAUCUCGACAUCUUAUACCUGCCACUCAGCAACUGCUGCAGUGAAGUUUGCAUUUUGUGGCUGCUGUGGGGAGAGAGGCCAUCAGGGAGCUCCACUGUCGGUGUGCUGCAAACCGGCAGCCCGAGGCUCAGGGAGCGUGUGGGAUAAAAGGAUGAGAGGGAAGAUCAAAGCGGAAAGCAUGAAAAAGCUCAAAGCACACAAGCAAGAGGCACCUCCCUGACCUCUUCGUACACACACACACACACACUCUCUUUACCCCGUCUACGCAGCACGGCCUGGCGCCUGCCCCUAUGCUUUUCCCUGCAGCUGCAGAGAAAGGCAAAGAGUAGAGGGCACAUCAUUCAGGCCGUGUGAGCCUCUCUGAUUAUAGUCUGUAACUGCUGGGAACCUGACCUCAACUGAUGCCCCCUACUGGUUCCAGACGUGCAGCACCCACCUGUUUAAUGUCACUCAUCAAACUUGAAGGCACUGGAUGAAAAAUGUGUCAUAUAAAAUUUGAAUCGACGUUUACGAU